GUUGAUUUAUUCCUUUACUUUGCUGCUUUGCAGGAGUUUUCAACGCUUGCAAAAGAGCUCAACAUUUGCAGGGAACAGCUGCUUGAGAAGGAAAAAGAAAUUGCUGAGCUGAAAGCAGAAAGGAACAACAUGAGGCUGUUCCUGGAACAUCUGGAGUUCCUUGUCUCCAGGCAUGAACGCUCUCUCGAAACGACUGUGAUGAAGCGGCAGGCGCGGUGUCCUGCAGGUGUGUCCACAGAGAUGGAAGUGCUAAAAGCACUGACAUUCUUAUUUGACCACCACAAGACCCUGGACGAAGAGGUGCGAGAGCAAUUACGUGUAGCACUGCAAAGGUGCAGCUUGCUGGAAGAGGAACUGGGCGCCACGCACAAGGAGCUAAUGACUCUUAAAAAACAGAAUAAUGAGAAAAAAUCACCAAGAGAUGGAGUGCUUGACCAUGAACAAGAAGAAACACCAAGCACUAAUGGAAAGGUAAGUCCUUGAGAUCUCUCUUUGUUCUGUUGCUGAUUUCUUAUAUUUUGUGGUUCGUGUGUGAUGCUGUUUGGAUGCUGUUGCUGGAAUGGCCUGCUUCCAGCUAAAGUGAUUGUUGAGAGUCCUAUCAUCCAACAGAUGGCAUAAAUCCAUUUUGAUAGUCCCUAUGUUCAAAAGUAUUUUAUUUGGUAGUACACUAAGGUUAUUUAAGAGUGUCCAUUUUACCCAUCAGAGAUCUUCUGCUGGCUCCUUAAGCCAUGAGGAAGACCUUGCCAAAAUAAUUGUGCUCCAAGAAGUCAUACACAAACAUUCAAAAGAGCAGAGUCAGAUGAAGGAGCUCCUGGCUGCACUUUCCAGCCAUGUGUCAGAGCUGCAAGAAAAUCUUG
rnacentral:lncRNA from 1 species